AAGCGAGUGUGCAAGCUGUUAGAAACCCUUCCAAAUGAGGCCGAUGCUCGCCUCAUUGACUGUGCUAUGGAGCUGGAUUCCAAACAGAAGCUCUCCUCUGGCUGCGGUCCGUGGGAUGCAAAGACAAAGCCAAAUUCUAUGGUUUUUGAAAACCAAGGAAGCAGAGGUACUGCCCAGCCGUGCCCGAGAUGUAUUGCUGGAGAAUCUAGAGGGGGGAUUCUUUCUGGCUCCCAGUUCCAGUCAGCAGAGUUUGGUGGUUUACACAGCGUGCCACACAAAGACAGGCCUAGAGCAGCUGGAGCUGCGUUAG
rnacentral:lncRNA from 1 species